rnacentral:tRNA from 10 species
GCCUUUAUAGCUCAACGGUAGAGCGAAAUACUGUUAAUAUUUUCAUAAGUGUUCGAUCCACUUUGAAGGCG